GGGGAAUAUUGGACAAUNGGGGCAACCCUGAUCCAGCCAUGCCGCGUGUGUGAAGAAGGCUUUCGGGUUGUAAAGCACUUUCAGUGAGGAGGAAAACCUUACGAUUAAUACUCGUGAGGCUUGACGUUACUCACAGAAGAAGCACCGGCUAACUCCGUGCCAGCAGCCGCGGUAAUACGGAGGGUGCAAGCGUUAAUCGGAAUUACUGGGCGUAAAGCGCGCGUAGGUGGUUUGAUAAGCGAGAUGUGAAAGCCCCGGGCUUAACCUGGGAACGGCAUUUCGAACUGUCAGGCUAGAGUGUGGUAGAGGGUAGUGGAAUUUCCUGUGUAGCGGUGAAAU
rnacentral:rRNA from 1 species